CCUACGGGUGGCUGCAGUGGGGAAUAUUGGACAAUGGGGGCAACCCUGAUCCAGCCAUGCCGCGUGUGUGAAGAAGGCCCUCGGGUUGUAAAGCACUUUCAGUGAGGAAGAACGCCUGGUGGUUAAUACCCAUCAGGAAAGACAUCACUCACAGAAGAAGCACCGGCUAACUCCGUGCCAGCAGCCGCGGUAAUACGGAGGGUGCGAGCGUUAAUCGGAAUUACUGGGCGUAAAGCGCGCGUAGGUGGCUUGAUAAGCCGGUUGUAAAAGCCCCGGGCUCAACCUGGGAACGGCAUCCGGAACUGUCAAGCUAGAGUGCAGGAGAGGAAGGUAGAAUUCCCGGUGUAGCGGUGAAAUGCGUAGAGAUCGGGAGGAAUACCAGUGGCGAAGGCGGCCUUCUGGACUGACACUGACACUGAGGUGCGAAAGCGUGGGUAGCAAACAGGAUUAGAUACCCGUGUAGUC
rnacentral:rRNA from 1 species